GAGUUUGAUCCUGGCUCAGGAUGAACGCUAGCGGGAGGCUUAACACAUGCAAGCCGAGGGGUAUUCAGUUGCUUGCAACUGAAGAGACCGGCGCACGGGUGAGUAACGCGUAUGUAACUUGCCUCAUUCAACGGGAUAGCCCGGGGAAACCCGGAUUAAUAUCGUAUAACAGCCGGACAGGCAUCUGUUUGGUUUGAAAGAUUCAUCGGAAUGAGAUAGACAUGCGUAUGAUUAGCUUGUUGGCGGGGUAACGGCCCACCAAGGCGAUGAUCAUUAGGGGUCCUGAGAGGGUGAUCCCCCACACUGGUACUGAGACACGGACCAGACUCCUACGGGAGGCAGCAGUGAGGAAUAUUGGACAAUGGGUGAGAGCCUGAUCCAGCCAUCCCGCGUGCAGGAAGACGGCCUUAUGGGUUGUAAACUGCUUUUAUACAGGAAUAAACCAUCUUACGAGUAGGGUGUUGAAGGUACUGUAUGAAUAAGCACCGCCUCUAAGGGGUGCCAGCAGCCGCGGUAAUACG
rnacentral:rRNA from 1 species